AAUGUUUUCAUUAAUCAAGAACGAAAGUUAGAGGUUUGAAGGCGAUCAGAUACCGCCCUAGUUCUAACCGUAAACUAUGCCUACUAGAUGUAUGAAUUAUUAGUUAUAAUAAUUUAUGCAUCUUCUCGGAAACGAAAGUCUUUCGGUUCCGGGGGAAGUAUGGUUGCAAAGCUGAAACUUAAAGGAAUUGACGGAAGGGCACCACCAGGAGUGGAGCCUGCGGCUUAAUUUGACUCAACACGGGAAAACUCACCCGGGCCGGACACUAUAAGGAUUGACAGAUUGAUAGCUCUUUCAUGAUUUAGUGGUUGGUGGUGCAUGGCCGUUCUUAGUUCGUGGAUAUGAUUUGUCUGGUUGAUUCCGAUAACGAGCGAGACUUUUAUGUUAUAUUAAAUAUUAUUAUUUUGUUUAUUUUAAUAUAAAUAAUUAAUAUUUUAAUAACAGAUUAAUAGUGUUUAACUAUUUGAGAGAGAGCGAUAACAGGUCUGUGAUGCCCUUAGAUGUCCGGGGCUGCACGCGCGCUACAAUGUAGUGAUC
rnacentral:rRNA from 1 species